rnacentral:rRNA from 1 species
UGUGCCAGUAUAAACAACUUGUACUUGUGAAACUGCGAAUGGCUCAUUAAAUCAGUUAUAAUUUGUUUGAUAGUUGAUUUGCUACAUGGAUAGCCGUAGUAAUUCUAGAGCUAAUACAUGCAGAAGAACCCGACUUGCAAAGGAAGGGUUGUAUUUAUUAGAUCGAAAACCAAUGUCAAGUAGAGAUACUUGGCUUUUUGGUGAGUAAUGAUAAAGGUCGAAUCGGAAAAUCCGAUGUGUCAUUGAAAUUUCUGCCCUAUCAACUUGACGGUAGGAUAGAGGCCUACCGUGGUGGUGACGGGUAACGGAGAAUCAGGGUUCGAUUCCGGAGAGGGAGCCUGAGAAACGGCUACCACUUCCAAGGAAGGCAGCAGGUGCGCAAAUUGCUCAAUCGAAAUCAUAAUUCGGAAGCAGUGACAAAAAAUACAAAUACUGGGUUAUCUCAGCAAUUUGAAUGGUUGUGGUGUAAGUAUCCGCAAGAGCAGCGAUUAGAGGGCAAGUCUGGUGCCAGCAGCCGCGGUAAUUCCAGCUCUAAUAGUGUAUACUAAAAUUGCUGCAGUUAAAAAGCUCGUAGUUGGAUUUUGGAGGAAACGUCGAUUUCUGUGUGAUGGGAUACAUUGUGUUUCAUCUUGCAGGAAGUGUUUUUUCCGAUAUUUUCGAAGACAGGUCUUGCGCUUUAUUGAGUGAGGCUAUGGAUUCGGAGGUUUUACUUUGAAGAAAUUGGAGUGUUCAAAGCAGGCGUUAUGCAACUGAACAGAUUAGCAUGGAAUAAUAAAAUAGGACACUUGUUUAUUGUUUUCUUCGGAAGAUGAUAAAGUCCAUUUUGUUGGUUUAUGGAGCAGGUGUAAUGAUUAAUAGGGACAGUUGGGGGCAUAUGUAUUGCAUUGUCAGAGGUGAAAUUCUUGGAUUUAUGCAAGACGAACUAAGGCGAAAGCAUUUGCCAAGGAUGUUUUCAUUAAUCAAGAACGAAAGUUAGGGGAUCGAAGGCGAUCAGAAACCGCCCUAGUCUUAACUAUAAACGAUGCCAACUAGGGAUUGGAGGGAGCUUUAUGGCCUCGUCAGGACCUUUAGAGAAAUCAAAGUCUCUGGGUUCUGGGGGGAGUAUGGUCGCAAGUCUGAAACUUAAAGAAAUUGACGGAAGGGCACCACCAGGUGUGGAGCCUGCGGCUUAAUUUGACUCAACACGGGGAAACUUACCAGGUCCAGACACGGGAAGGAUUGACAGAUUUUGAAGCUCUUUCUUGAUUCCGUGGGUGGUGGUGCAUGGUCGUUCUUAGUUGGUGGAGUGAUUUGUCUGGUUAAUUCCGAUAACGAACGAGACCUCAACCUGCUAAAUAAGUUGGUCGCUUUUUAGUAAGUGAUGUAACUUCUUAGAGGGACUACUACAGUUGCAUGUAGGGGAAGCUUGAGGCAAUAACAGGUCUGUGAUGCCCUUAGAUGUCCUGGGCCGCACGCGCGCUACACUGAUUGAUUCAACGAGUUUGUGCUUGCCCGAAAGGGUUGGCUAAUCUUUUGAAUGUCAAUCGUGCUGGGGAUUGAUCUUUGUAAUUUUGGAUCAUGAACGAGGAAUACCUAGUAAGUGCAAGUCAUCAGCUUGCGCUGAUUACGUCCCUGCCCUUUGUACACACCGCCCGUCGCUCCUACCGAUUGAAUGAUCAGAUGAAAUGUUCGGAUGAUGUGAUUGCAGUUGCGCAAGUGACAGCGGUUAUGUUAGAAGAACAGUGAAUCUUAUUAUUUAGAGGAAGGAGAAGUCG